rnacentral:rRNA from 1 species
GACGAACGCUGGCGGCGUGCUUAACACAUGCAAGUCGAACGGAAAGGCCCUGCUUUUGUGGGGUGCUCGAGUGGCGAACGGGUGAGUAACACGUGAGUAACCUGCCCUUGACUUUGGGAUAACUUCAGGAAACUGGGGCUAAUACCGGAUAGGAGCUCCUGCUGCAUGGUGGGGGUUGGAAAGUUUCGGCGGUUGGGGAUGGACUCGCGGCUUAUCAGCUUGUUGGUGGGGUAGUGGCUUACCAAGGCUUUGACGGGUAGCCGGCCUGAGAGGGUGACCGGCCACAUUGGGACUGAGAUACGGCCCAGACUCCUACGGGAGGCAGCAGUGGGGAAUAUUGCACAAUGGGCGGAAGCCUGAUGCAGCAACGCCGCGUGCGGGAUGACGGCCUUCGGGUUGUAAACCGCUUUCGCCUGUGACGAAGCGUGAGUGACGGUAAUGGGUAAAGAAGCACCGGCUAACUACGUGCCAGCAGCCGCGGUGAUACGUAGGGUGCGAGCGCUGUCCGGAUUUAUUGGGCGUAAAGGGCUCGUAGGUGGUUGAUCGCGUCGGAAGUGUAAUCUUGGGGCUUAACCCUGAGCGUGCUUUCGAUGCGGGUUGACUUGAGGAAGGUAGGGGAGAAUGGAAUUCCUGGUGGAGCGGUGGAAUGCGCAGAUAUCAGGAGGAACACCAGUGGCGAAGGCGGUUCUCUGGGCCUUUCCUGACGCUGAGGAGCGAAAGCGUGGGGAGCGAACAGGCUUAGAUACCCUGGUAGUCCACGCUGUAAACGGUGGGUACUAGGUGUGGGGUCCAUUCCACGGGUUCCGUGCCGUAGCUAACGCUUUAAGUACCCCGCCUGGGGAGUACGGCCGCAAGGCUAAAACUCAAAGGAAUUGACGGGGCCCCGCACAAGCGGCGGAGCAUGCGGAUUAAUUCGAUGCAACGCGUAGAACCUUACCUGGGUUUGACAUGGAUCGGGAGUGCUCAGAGAUGGGUGUGCCUCUUUUGGGGUCGGUUCACAGGUGGUGCAUGGCUGUCGUCAGCUCGUGUCGUGAGAUGUUGGGUUAAGUCCCGCAACGAGCGCAACCCUUGUUCACUGUUGCCAGCACGUUAUGGUGGGGACUCAGUGGAGACCGCCGGGGUCAACUCGGAGGAAGGUGGGGAUGACGUCAAGUCAUCAUGCCCCUUAUGUCCAGGGCUUCACGCAUGCUACAAUGGCUGGUACAGAGAGUGGCGAGCCUGUGAGGGUGAGCGAAUCUCGGAAAGCCGGUCUCAGUUCGGAUUGGGGUCUGCAACUCGACCUCAUGAAGUCGGAGUCGCUAGUAAUCGCAGAUCAGCAACGCUGCGGUGAAUACGUUCCCGGGGAU